rnacentral:rRNA from 1 species
UACGUAGGGACCAAGCGUUGUUCGGAUUUACUGGGCGUAAAGGGCGCGUAGGCGGGAUGACAAGUCGGUCGUGAAAUCCCUGGGCUCAACUCAGGGGGGUCGGCCGAUACUGCCAUUCUUGAGGGAUGCAGAGGAGACUGGAAUUCCCGGUGUAGCGGUGAAAUGUGUAGAGAUCGGGAGGAACACCGGUGGCGAAGGCGGGUCUCUGGGCAUUCCCUGACGCUGAGGCGCGAAAGCGUGGGGAGCAAACGGG